GGCGGCAGGCCUAACACAUGCAAGUCGAACGGUAACAGGAAGCAGCUUGCUGCUUCGCUGACGAGUGGCGGACGGGUGAGUAAUGUCUGGGAAACUGCCUGAUGGAGGGGGAUAACUACUGGAAACGGUGGCUAAUACCGCAUAACGUCGCAAGACCAAAGAGGGGGACCUUCGGGCCUCUUGCCAUCAGAUGUGCCCAGAUGGGAUUAGCUUGUUGGUGAGGUAACGGCUCACCAAGGCGACGAUCCCUAGCUGGUCUGAGAGGAUGACCAGCCCCACUGGAACUGAGACACGGUCCAGACUCCUACGGGAGGCAGCAGUGGGGAAUAUUGCACAAUGGGCGCAAGCCUGAUGCAGCCAUGCCGCGUGUAUGAAGAAGGCCUUCGGGUUGUAAAGUACUUUCAGCGGGGAGGAAGGUGUUGUGGUUAAUAACCGCAGCAAUUGACGUUACCCGCAGAAGAAGCACCGGCUAACUCCGUGCCAGCAGCCGCGGUAAUACGGAGGGUGCAAGCGUUAAUCGGAAUUACUGGGCGUAAAGCGCACGCAGGCGGUCUGUCAAGUCGGAUGUGAAAUCCCCGGGCUCAACCUGGGAACUGCAUUCGAAACUGGCAGGCUUGAGUCUUGUAGAGGGGGGUAGAAUUCCAGGUGUAGCGGUGAAAUGCGUAGAGAUCUGGAGGAAUACCGGUGGCGAAGGCGGCCCCCUGGACAAAGACUGACGCUCAGGUGCGAAAGCGUGGGGAGCAAACAGGAUUAGAUACCCUGGUAGUCCCCGCCGUAAACGAUGUCUACUUGGAGGUUGUGCCCUUGAGGCGUGGCUUCCGGAGCUAACGCGUUAAGUAGACCGCCUGGGGAGUACGGCCGCAAGGUUAAAACUCAAAUGAAUUGACGGGGGCCCGCACAAGCGGUGGAGCAUGUGGUUUAAUUCGAUGCAACGCGAAGAACCUUACCUGGUCUUGACAUCCCCAGAAGUUUCCAGAGAUGGAUUGGUGCCUUCGGGAACUGUGAGACAGGUGCUGCAUGGCUGUCGUCAGCUCGUGUUGUGAAAUGUUGGGUUAAGUCCCGCAACGAGCGCAACCCUUAUCCUUUGUUGCCAGCGGUUAGGCCGGGAACUCAAAGGAGACUGCCAGUGAUAAACUGGAGGAAGGUGGGGAUGACGUCAAGUCAUCAUGGCCCUUACGACCAGGGCUACACACGUGCUACAAUGGCGCAUACAAAGAGAAGCGACCUCGCGAGAGCAAGCGGACCUCAUAAAGUGCGUCGUAGUCCGGAUUGGAGUCUGCAACUCGACUCCAUGAAGUCGGAAUCGCUAGUAAUCGUGGAUCAGAAUGCCCCGGUGAAUACGUUCCCGGGCCUUGUACACACCGCCCGUCACACCAUGGGAGUGGGUUGCAAAAGAAGUAGGUAGCUUAACCUUCGGGAGGGCGCUUACCCCUUUGUGAUUCAUGACUGGGGUGAAGUCGUAACAAGGUAACCGUAGGGG
rnacentral:rRNA from 1 species